UCUUUUGAGUCCAUCACAGUUGUACAGA
rnacentral:piRNA from 1 species